CCUCCAUAGUUGCCAGUCAUUCUCGCUGUUUGUGGGCGCAGAGAAGUUUAUGGAAUAAUAGACCGUGGCAGCCUGUGGCUGUGUAACGGUGCAUAAAAAAUAACUGUGUACUAAGUUUUCUGCCUUCUAAAUACAUUUAAGGAUGAAAGAAAGCGCGUCGAAGCGGCGGGAGAAGGAAAAGGAGAAGGAGAAGGAGAAAGGGAAGGAGAAGGAGAAGGGCAGAGCUGAGCAGCCGGGCCCCGAGCCCGUUGAUGUGGAGAUGCCGGAGGAGGAGGCGGGAGCGGCGGGGAAAACACACCGAGAGCAGGACACCCUCACACUGGAGGACAUCAAGGAGCAUGUGAAGCAGAUUGAGAAGGCGGUGUCGGGGAGAGAGCCCCGCUUUGUCCUGCGGGCCCUGAGGGCGCUGCCCUCCACAAGCCGCCGGCUCAACCCCAAUGUGCUGCACAAGGCCGUUUCUGGCUUCUACACAGCCAACACUGCUGGGAGGGAGUUCCUGCUGAGUUUCUUGGAGGAGCCAAUGGACACCGAGGGUGAUGUCCAGUUCCGGCCCAGGUCCGGCAAGGCAGCGGCCACCCCUCUGUUGCCCGAGGUAGAGGCCUACCUGCAGCUUCUACUGGUGGUGUAUCUCACCAACAACAAAUGCUACACAGAGGCCAAAAAGGUGUCUGAUGACCUCUUGCAAAAGAUUAGCUCUCAGAACCGCCGGGCACUGGACUUGGUGGCAGCCAAAUGUUACUACUACCACUCUCGUGUUUAUGAGUUUCUCAACCAGCUAGACACAAUUCGCAGUUUUCUUCACUCUCGCCUGCGGACAGCUACCCUGCGCCAUGAUGCAGAUGGCCAGGCCACACUGCUCAACCUGCUGCUGCGCAAUUACCUGCACUAUAAUCUGUACGACCAGGCUGAAAAGUUGGUGUCAAAAUCAGUGUUCCCUGAGCAGUCCAACAACAAUGAGUGGGCCCGUUACCUCUACUACACAGGUCGCAUCAAAGCCAUCCAGCUUGAGUACUCGGAGGCCAGAAGAACCCUCACCAACGCCCUGAGGAAGGCCCCCCAGCACACUGCUGUUGGUUUUAAGCAGACUGUACACAAGUUGCUUAUAGUGGUGGAGCUGCUACUUGGAGAGAUCCCGGACCGGCUGCAGUUCCGGCAGCCCUCACUGAAGCGCUCCCUCAUGCCUUACUUCCUGCUGACUCAAGCUGUGAGAACUGGUAACCUGGCCAAGUUCAACCAGGUCCUGGACCAAUUUGGAGAAAAGUUCCAGACUGAUGGCACCUACACGCUCAUUAUCCGGCUAAGACAUAACGUCAUCAAAACUGGAGUGCGCAUGAUAAGCCUGUCAUAUUCGCGCAUCUCGUUGGCCGAUAUCGCUGUCAAGCUGCAGCUUGACAGCCCUGAAGAUGCUGAAUUCAUUGUUGCCAAGGCAAUCCGAGAUGGGGUGAUUGAGGCCAGCAUAAACCAUGAAAAGGGCUAUGUCCAGUCUAAAGAGACCAUGGACAUCUAUGGCACCAGAGAGCCACAGCUAGCUUUCCACCAGAGAAUCUCCUUCUGCCUAGACAUUCACAACAUGUCAGUCAAGGCAAUGAGAUUUCCUCCCAAAUCAUAUAAUAAGGACCUUGAAUCUGCAGAGGUAUGGUUCCAUUCCCCCCCCCCCUCAGCUCAGCCCACCCUCUAACUUUGUGGAGUCGCCCCACGAGGAAUAGCGUGGUAGUGAGACAUCGUAGGAAGCUCCAUUUAGCAAUUACUGUAUUUAGGAUUGUUCCACACACUUAAAAUGUAUUGUUUUUCUAUCCACCCAGCACUGCUGCAAAGAAACCUUGAUUUAAUAAAAGAUAGUAUAGUUAAGGAAUAGUUUUUUCAAGUUGUACAUGGCUUUUUACCAUCUUUUACAAUGUUGGAUACAAAAGUUUAAAAAGUGCAACUUUGUCAGAUGGCACCAGAAUGUCUUUCCCAGAUAUAGGCAUCUUAUUAGUCACACCCCAGAAGUUGAAGAAUGCCACAAGGUGGCAACAUUUUGCAAAAGAUGCAGAUGGCUUUGGUUAUUCAGUUUGAAGUGAUGUCCCUACUUCCAGAGUAAAUUUUCAUUAAGAUAGAAGAUGCAUGAAGAAUAAGGCACUGUCAGAGAGCUAGGGUUUUAAAAGGAGCGUCGCGAGAGGGAGCA